rfam:Pluralibacter gergoviae strain JS81F13 contig_4, whole genome shotgun sequence.
ACUUCCUGAGCCGGAACGAAAAGCGUCGUUGGAAUGCGUGUUCUGAUGGGCUUUUGGCUUACGGUUGUGAUGUUGUGUUGUUGUGUUUGCAAUUGGUCUGGAGUUCAGACCUGGGUAGCAAGACUACCGCUUUUCACUUCCUGUACAUUUACCCUGUCUGUCCAUAGUGAUUAAUGUAGCACCGCAAAAUUGCGGUGCUUUUUUUU